rnacentral:rRNA from 1 species
GUUAUUUUAAUAAAAAAUGAUUUCUGCUCGGUGAUUUUUAACAGCCGCGGUAAUUKGACCGUGCAAAGGUAGCAUAAUCAUUUGCUUCAUAAUUGGGGGCUAGCAUGAAUGGAAUUACAAGAUGUAAGCUUUAUUAAGAAGAAGAUAAGAAUUUGCUUUUUUAGUGAAGAAGCUAAAGUAAAUUUAAAAGACAAGAAGACCCUUUUGAGCUUUAUUAUUUUUUUAAAUUUUUUUUAUUAGAUAAUUUGGUUGGGGCGACCGAGGAAGAAAAAAUCUUCCUUUUUAUGAUUUUGAUCCAUGGAUUUUGAUUAAUAGAUUAAGUUACCAAAGGGAUAACAGCGUUAUUUUUUUUAAGAGUUCUUAUUAAAAAAAAAGAUUGCGACCUCGAUGUUGACUUAUAAUUUCCUUUUGGUGUAGCCGCUAAUAGGGUAGGUCUGUUCGACCUUUAAAAUUUUACGUGAGUUGAGUUCAGACC